UUAAAAACGGGACGUCCGUCCAGAGCGAGGGUUGGCCAUUGCACACCCGGCCAGCUUGACCUUUGCGAUUACCCCAAAUGCGGGUAACUCGGCUGCGUAAUUUAUGAUAGUGGGGGUCUGCGUUCGCGCUAACCCCCG
rnacentral:snRNA from 1 species